rnacentral:rRNA from 1 species
UGGGGAAUAUUGGACAAUGGGCGCAAGCCUGAUCCAGCCAUGCCGCGUGAGUGAUGAAGGCCUUAGGGUUGUAAAGCUCUUUCGCCGGUGAAGAUAAUGACGGUAACCGGAGAAGAAGCCCCGGCUAACUUCGUGCCAGCAGCCGCGGUAAUACGAAGGGGGCUAGCGUUGCUCGGAAUCACUGGGCGUAAAGCGCACGUAGGCGGAUCGUUAAGUCAGGGGUGAAAUCCUGGAGCUCAACUCCAGAACUGCCCUUGAUACUGGCGAUCUCGAGUUCGAGAGAGGUUGGUGGAACUCCGAGUGUAGAGGUGAAAUUCGUAGAUAUUCGGAAGAACACCAGUGGCGAAGGCGGCCAACUGGCUCGAUACUGACGCUGAGGUGCGAAAGCGUGGGGAGCAAAACAGGAUUAGAUACCCUGGUAGUCCGCGCCGUAAACGAUGGAUGCUAGCCGUUGGGGGGUUUACCUCUCAGUGGCGCAGCUAACGCCUUAAGCAUCCCGCCUGGGGAGUACGGUCGCAAGAUUAAAACUUAAAUGAAUUGACGGGGUCAUAGCUGUUUCCU